rnacentral:rRNA from 1 species
UAAUGCUCCAUAGUGGAUAUGUCCUGGAAUGGUAUAUCCUCGAAAGAUCCGUCGCCUUAGGAUGGGAUUGCGUCCGAUUAGGUUGCUGGCGGGGUAACGGCCCACCAAGCCAUUGAUCGGUACGGGUUGUGGGAGCAAGAUCCCGGAGAUGGAUUCUGAGACAUGAAUUCAGGCCCUACGGGGCGCAGCAGGCGCGCAAACUCUACAAUGCGAGCAAUCGUGAUAAGGAAACCCUGAGUGCCUGUCGAUGCAGGCUGUUCAUAUAUAUAAAUCAUAUGUGAAGAAAGGGCAGGGCAAGACCGGUGCCAGCCGCCGCGGUAAUACCGGCUGCCUCGAGUGAUGGCCACUAUUACUGGGUUUAAAGCGUCCGUAGCUUGACUCUUAGGUCUCUUGGGAAAUCUUCACGCUCAACGUGAAGGCGUCUAAGAGAUACCGGCAGUCUUGGAACUGGGAGAGGUUAACCGUAGUUCGGGGGUAGGAGCGAAUCUUGUAAUCCUCGAGGGACGACAUAUGGUCGAAGGCAGUUUACCAGAACAGCUUCGACAGUGAGGGACGAAAGCUGGGGGAGCACACGGGACUAGAUAACCCGUUAGUACCCAGCCGUAAACGAUGUGCGUUAGGUGU